GAAAAAGGAUGGAUGUUCCCUGCCUCUGUAGAAACAGGUACAAUCUUGCAUAAAAUUGCUUGUUAACAUUGAUCUGUGCGUGGAAUCAGUUUGUGUUGCAGGGAAAUGAAGCGUCCUACACGCCUGUGAUCAAAAUGAAUUUCAUCAUCUCAACCUUCUUUUUUUUUAAUGAUAGCAAGACAGUGUCUGGCACACAAAGGAACUGGUUGGGAGCUAAAAAUAGGUAAUGGUAGCAGCAGGGAUUUUUAAUUGACUGGAAGAGACGGCGAAGAUCUGGAAGGUGAAGCCCAAGCUCAUGCUCCUGGCUGAGACUAAGCCCAGGUUUCAGGAUUAGGAAGGAAAACUAAACCACCUGUUGCCACGGAAUGUAGAAACCCUGGCUUUAUUUGGCAGUUCUUGGCUUCUACAAUUCAAUUAAAAAUAUCCUCAUCCUCCAGAGAGUUAUUUUGUUCGUCAGAAUUCAUAACAUGCUCAACAAAGGUCAAGGCGUUUUGGCAAAGUGCAACGUGGCUAAGAAAAUAGAAGAGGAGGAAACUGAUGCAGGACCUGCCAGUGUUCCUGGUGAUGUCAUGUGGACGAAGAAACUCUCUUUUGAGGGGGCCUGGGUAGGGCUGGCUGCCACUCACACCUUGAGACUCAGGUACCAAAAGAACUAAGUUCAAAUUACCCUUACAAUUUAGAUGCCCUGAGCUGAUUUUUCUUUUGCUGGGCUCAGCAGCAUCCCUGUUGGCUGGUUGGUCUCAAGCUGAGGCAUGCAUUGGAAUUGCCUGGUGGGGUUAUUUGUGCACGGAUUGUUGGGCCCCAAGCCCCAGAGUCUGAUUCAGCGGGCCUGGAGCGGGAACUGAGUUUGCAUUGCUAACAAGCUUCCAGGUGAAGCUGAUGCUGCUGGUCCAGGGACCACCCUGUUGGAAGCACUGCUCUAUGCCAAUAACAGUGGAUGGAAUAAGAAAAGGCCGUGGAACUGUUACUUCAAGUCAUGGAGCCUCUUGGUGGCUCAUUUCCUCACCUUGAGAAUGGAGACAACACUGAGAACAUCUACUGUGCAGGGUUGUUGUGAGUGUUAAAAGAGGCAGUGGGUGUGAAGUUCCUGGUAUACAACAGGGCUUAAUACAUGAUCAUUUUCAUUAGGUGUGGGCUGACACGCUUGUCAGUGGACAGGACCCCUCCCUGCCCCACCAACUAAUUCUGCCUGGAAUUGUAUCAUUAGACAGCCAUCCAUCGGCCCUUUAAGAUACACAUACACCAGAGAGAGGAAGCUAAAUCUGGCUCAGACCUCUUGAGACUUACGAAUCAGUUUCUCAGCUGUGCUUUCUUCCCAAAUUGAGAGGGUCGGGGCAUAGCAAAUAACGCCAAGGCCUGAGAGUUGGAAGCACACCCUUCCCCUCUGAGAGGCUUUCUCAUCGGCUGCUUCUUGGGAGAGUGCUGUGGUUUGGGCUGUUUUAGUCUCCAAGGGGAUGGGUGAUUUAUAUCCUUUUAUUCGGCAAACAGCUUUGUACAGAAUGAAUGCCACUUGCUAAAUGUCACCAGGCGGGGGCAGGGGAGCCGUAUAGAAUCCCAAUGAAGCCUUCCAGGCCUGGGAAAAUGGCACCUGGCGACUCGGUUAGUGUGUGUGUUUUCUCUGGCGGGAGUAAAGAAGAUACAGUGAUUCUGAAAUCCAGACUGGCUGGCCAGAGUGGCAGGGAAAUGCAAAGACUCCAGUGCCCACCUCCCCUGCUAGUGCCUGCUACUUCCUGCUUCUCCAUCUUCUCCCUGCCCUUUGCAGGACAGGGCCCUCUCCACCUCAGAGAGAAGCAAGGCAGUCAGUGACCUAUGGACUUUAGGGAGGAGCUCCUUUCUGUGGCGCUGAGUCAGCAUGCCAGGCCUGCAGGGCUACACAAUCAAGCAUGAGGGAUUGCGGCUUUCACCAGGGCAUAUCAGGGCUUAGCUCUGCGCUCAACCUUGCCCAAGCCAGGGUUCUGGCUGGAGGCCCCUUGCUCUUCUCACUCGCUUUCCAUGCUCCUCCUUCUCACCUCUCCCCAUCCACACCUGGUUCUGUAAGUUCCCUGAGACUGUGAGCCAUGCCUCUUCACACACACACACACACACACACCACACACACACACACACAGGUGCCCAGCGUGGCCCCAUUCUCAACACACAAUAAAUAGGUGCUCGAUGUUUGUUGAAUGAAUAACAAAUGGCCAACUCAUUCCCCCAUGAACCCUGGCAACCCAGCACUGCCCUGCAUGAACCCUGGCACCCCAGCACUGCCCUGGGGCCUGUGGGUGGCUCUGGCAGGAUGACAAAGCAUGCCUCAGUGUUUAGGGCAGUGCUACCAAUGCACUAAGAGAUGGGAAAGGUGGUAGAUUCUCAGGACUUGGAGAAACUUUUGCAAUCACAUUGCCCAGCCCUCUCAUUUUAUAGAUGAGGACACCGAGGCCCAGAGAGGUGUCCUGCCAAAGCCACACAGCACAGAGGAGCACAGCCCGGGUCCAGCUAUUUCUCCUGUCACACCACACUGCCUCUUCUCACUGGAAGAGUGUACCAAGGAGGGAGUCUGGCCCCUACCCAUCCCAAGCCUGAUCCCUGCCUAAGAGCGUCUCCACCAGCAGCUCCAGGAGGGAUGAUAAAUUGUCAAAAGCCACCAAGAGUCAGGGGCAGGAACUCAGUUCUACCCAGCUGAGGGCCGUGCAGGGAUUUCAAGGUCCCUGAGCGGAUCCCAGCCCUCACUCACUGAACUCAGUCAGAAAACCACCACGUCAGUGGAUUUAGAAAUGUGACAGGGAUUUCAGAGGGCAAUGGGUUCAGCCCUUACAACCCAGCACCACUCUGCAGGCAUAGAAACGCAGGCCCAGAGGACAGGGGCUUCUCAACAUGGGCACACAGCACCAAGACAGCUCCAUAAAUAGAAGCUAAAUCUCCAAGCUCCCACUCCAGGGAUGCUGACCACUGGGUGGGUGACUCCCCCAGCGUCCAAAUCCUCUCUGGCAGUCCCUUGCUGCUCCAGGGGUGAGGAUGAAAGGGAGAGCUCCUCCCAGGGCCUCCUGGGAGACACUUCUGCUGACUGUCCCCAAGGAGAAAGAGGGGAGAGAAAUGAGGGAGGUCCCUGAAGAAUGGAGACCUUCAAGAAGGAGGCCAAUGUAGGGAACCAGUGGAAGCCAGAAAGAGCACGGGGGCAUGGCAGGGGCUGGAGCCAAUGUCCCAGGGAAGGAGUAGCUGCAAGGCCCUGCCCCUCAGCCUCAGAGGAGCACCAGUCCUGCCCUGCCAUUCUGGACAAGGCGUGAGUGUGAAGAGGCUCUUGCCCGUCCACACUGUCAAGGCUGAGCGGGGACAAAGGCAGCCCCCUGGGGGUCCCUCCCUGCUACUGGACAUUAAAACCAUUUUCUUUGGUUUUAAAGAAACAAUUUUUCUUUGGUCAUGAUUUUGUUGGUAGAUUUAUCUUUAUGGAAUUGUAGUAUUUUCUUGCUCUAAAACCCUCAGUUUAACCCCUUCUUUUUUCUGUCUCACAUUUUUGCCUCCAGCGAUAUGAAAACGAACCUUGGAGAAUGGGAGGGUCCUGGGGGAGGGGGCUGAGGGGCUCUUCACCAGGCAGAGAUGAACCCCAGUGCUGACACAAGCCCUUUCCUUUUCCUGGUUUCUCUUGCCCUGGAGAGUGGCAGGCAGAAAAGGCUUUUUGUCUCUUUGGACCAUUUCUGUAUCCCCUGCUGCCUCAAAUGAAGCCUGGCCUGGGGCGAACUCAAUCAAUGACUCUGACGGGAGACAGGGUUCCGGCCCACUGGGGUGAUGGGCUAAAGAGGGGAUUCUGGUUCCUGUGGACAAUCUGGAAGCUGGAAGCUGUUAGAACUGGAGCGAGGAUUUCACCAAGGAGCUCACAGACAAAGCCCGGGCAGGAACUCUCCAAUCAUCUGGCGGCUGAGGCCCUUUCGCUGGAGGAGGAAAUGGGCCACACCGGUGGGGGUGUCGGGGAUGAAGCCACGUGAGAUCAGGAACUGGAUGCCCUUGUCUGGGUUUCUGGAGGUGGGGGUGGGGAGAAGCAGCAGAGAGUGAGCUGAAGCCAUCCAUGACUCUUUCCUCCCUGUCUUCCACCCAUAGAAGUGCCCAGAGGUUCUUGGAAAUCCAGUUCCCCAUUGGAAGUGUCUCUCACCAGAGCCUCAACCCACUGAAUGUCCUCACACAGAGGAUGGUGUGUGACCAGAAAGAGGACAGGCGAGGUCUGCAAACAAAGUCCCCACCGCAGACGCCCCAACCCUGGAAAGAGGGUGGGAGAAACAGAGGUGAGACCUCCGCCACACCACCUCUUCCCUUUGCAAGCUUUGAAGCCAUGCUGCUCCCUGAGCUGUUUCUCACAGGUCCAGGAAGAGAUAAGUACAGAAACACAAGGUCUGCCGAGUACUAGCUAUUUCAUCGUGUGCAGCUCGCCUUACUGGUGUGAGCCGGCUUCCUUUUCUGUAAAACAGCGUGGUAAUACCUCUGUGUAGAUACUGCUGGGAAGAUUACAGAUGCUUUAUGUAAGCCCUCCCCUCUCCUGCUCUCUGCUGACACUCUUUACAAGGCGCCUCUCCUGCCUCCCCCACCCAGCCUCGCAUUUCACCAACCCUGGGAGCUAAUGCGUUUUCCCUGGCUUCAUAUCCACCCGAAUGAUUGCUGCUUAAUCCUCAAACGGCCUGAACUGUUAUUUACUUAAUACUGUCUUUUCUUUUACAUUCUCUUACUUUUCAAACCCUAGCUUCAUCUUAAACUGUAACAGUUGUGAAAGCAUGUGUUUGAUGUGUUCUUUUCUUCCUUUAAUCUUUCUUAAAAUAAACUCAGAAUGAUUAAAAAUACAA
rnacentral:antisense_RNA from 1 species